rnacentral:rRNA from 1 species
CUACGGGAGGCUGCAGACGAGAAUCUUCCGCAAUGGACGAAAGUCUGACGGAGCGACGCCGCGUGCGGGAUGAAGGCCUUCGGGUUGUAAACCGCUGUCAGUGGGGAGGAAAUGCAUCAGGGUUCUCCCUGGUGUUUGACCGAUCCGCAGAGGAAGCGCAGGCUAAGUUCGUGCCAGCAGCCGCGGUAACACGAACUGCGCGAACGUUAUUCGGAAUCACUGGGCUUAAAGAGUUCGUAGGCGGCCUUUCAAGUCUGGUGUGAAAUCCCUCGGCUCAACCGAGGAAUUGCGCCUGAUACUGUUGGGCUUGAGGGGGAUAGGGGUGAGCGGAACUGAUGGUGGAGCGGUGAAAUGCGUUGAUAUCAUCAGGAACACCGGUGGCGAAGGCGGCUCACUGGAUCUCUUCUGACGCUGAGGAACGAAAGCUAGGGGAGCGAACGGGAUUAGAUACCCUAGUAGUC